rnacentral:rRNA from 1 species
GACGAACGCUGGCGGCGUGCCUAAUACAUGCAAGUUGAGCGAUGAAGAUUGGUGCUUGCACCUAUUUGAAGAGCAGCGAACGGGUGAGUAACGCGUGGGGAAUCUGCCUUUGAGCGGGGGACAACAUUUGGAAACGAAUGCUAAUACCGCAUAACAACUUUAAACAUAAGUUUUAAGUUUGAAAGAUGCAAUUGCUUCACUCAAAGAUGAUCCCGCGUUGUAUUAGGUAAGUGGGGAGGUAAACGCUCACCAAGGCGAAGAUACAUAGCCGACCUGAGAGGGGAGUCGGCCACAUUGGGACUGAGACACCGCCCAAGCUCCUACCGGAGGGAGCAGUAGGGGAUCUUCGGCAAUGGACGAAAGUCUGACCGAGCAACGGCGCGUUAGUGAAUAAGGUUUUCGGAUCGUAAAACUCUGUUGGUAGGGAAGAACGUUGGUGAGAGUGGAAAGCUCAUCAAGUGACGGUAACUACCCAGAAAGGGACGGCUAACUACGUG